CCAACACUUCCAUCCAUCCAUGCCUCUGGCGGGAGGAAGCUGAACUGCUCAAGUAUUUGUCAAAGUCUAGUGUGUUGCUGUUGUAAAUCAAGGCGAGCUCUGCAUUUAACUCUCAUAAGUUCAUUGGAAAAGCAAACCCUGUGCUACUGAAAUGAAGAUUUAAUUUCAGCUCAGCAGGCUCAGGCCCUGUUUUGUGACAGAAAGCACCGUCCCAGAGAGAGCUGAAUUCUCUGUGUACUGUGUGAAGUUCUGUGUGGCUGUGACACACCGUUUAUCAUGCGGUGUGAAAUACAGUUUGGUCACAGAUUUAUGACAGUAGCCCAGCAGUGUAACUCAGCUGCACUGGCUGUGUUCAGCAAGGACUUAAAAAAGAAAUAAUGAGCUUGGCCACUCUCUCCGUUUAUACACUGUGAUUAUAAAUAAAUAAAUUGGAUAGUGAUAGCUCUUUGACAAGGAGUGGACUGGGAUGUUGUCCUGUAUUACUUACCUUCUCAAACAAAACUUCUGUGGAAAUAUUACAUUAACUACUUUGUCCACAGAAUGCAAAUGGAAAUAGUGACCUCAGUGUUUACAUCAAACCUGUUGGCAAAUGUGUCCCAGAUACUCAUGACUGAACUAGAUUAUUUGCUUACCAGAUGAAUUAAAUGGUAAUAUGUCAGAGCGGCUUUCUCCAAAGAACAAAUCUGUGAAAACCUGAAACCCAGCAAAUAUAUAUUUAACUAUUAUUAAGUAGAGAAAUUUGCUGUUUCAGAUGAUUGUUGGAUACCAAACUAGAACCAAAGAGGUAAAUAUUCUCCUUAUAUGGGUAGUAAAAGAGGUGUAAUACAGCCUCUCCUUUCCUGAUGACAGAGGAUCCUUCUUUCUACCUAUUCAUUCUUUAUGAAAAGCCAGUGAAACGGAGGAAUGUGAUUCUGAAAUCUACUCUGUGGGCAAAGGUACUUUUCAUCUCUUAACGGUAAAACCAUUCAAUUUCUCCUACAAUGAAGAUAUAGUUCAGAAUAGAGCCAUGUCAGAAAAGAGCAAGAUAACAUACAAGCACAUACUGGACUGAAAACAAUUUCUGCCAGCAAUAAACUUCCAUCAUUUAUUAAUUGGCAGUAAAAGACUUAUUUCACAGAUGCCUGACAGGUCAGUGAGGGAGGUCCUGGGAGGAAGGGUAAGAGGUAGUGUUGCUGUUUGCCUUCCUUUCUCAUCAUUAUUGCUAGGUUUAAGUCAUCCUUUUUCUUUUGUCUACCACAGAGCUCUUGACCCCACUCAGAGCCGUUGCUCCUUGUUAUGAAGUGACCAUUAUGCUGUUGUGUCAAGAGCCAACAGGAGCUCUCUGCAGGUUGUGGUGGUGUGAGUAAAGGAUUUGCCUCUGACCUGAUCUUGUACUAAUGAGGAUCAACAUUUGUGACUUCUCUGAGCAGAAUCAAGAAACUUUACAAAAAUAAGGAGAAUGACAGUGUUCCAAAGUGUUCUCUUUUCCUUGGCUCUGCUGAAAAUGUUUUUCUUUAAGCUUCCUUCUCCUGCUUUUCACAAGCCUACUACCUUAUGUUAAAAAAGAAAAAAAAAAGAAGAAACAGUGUGACCCUCCUGUCAUUUAAUGUCACAGUUUUGUUUCUAAUUGUUACCCAUCGGCUUCUCUAAUAAAGCACAUGUUUUUCUCAAGGAACUGACUGCUUCUCUGGCAGCUGGAAGACUUUUUCAGCGUGGUGUAAUAACAGAAACCUCUCUGUGAAGCACUUUCUGUCUAUCAGCUUUUGCUUGGCAGCCUAGCAUUAAACAGACACGGAGUAAAAAGGAAAGAGUAAAGGUUUUGAAUUGCAAGAAAGGUCAGAUCUUCUUAAAGUGCCGGUGCUCUUCAGUGACAGGCUUAGCAGUGAUACAGACAUCUUCAAAAUUGCUUAGACUAAUCCUUAGUGGAAGAACAUCAAGA